rnacentral:rRNA from 1 species
AUGAUACGUCGGUUCUGGUGGGGUGCUGAAAAAGGGAAAUGAAAAACACACUGGAUUGGAUGGGAUAUCAUGCUGCGUCCCAAGGCGAGAGGUGGUAUGGGUUUCAAGGAUCUUAGACUAUUCAACCAAGCGCUUCUUGCGCGUCAAGCCUGGCGUUUGAUCCAAUACCCAGACAGUUUAUGCGCACAAGUCUUACGAGCCAAGUAUUACCCUGAGGGUGUCAUUACUGAUACCGUGUUUACAGGUAACGGAUCAACAACUUGGCAGGCUAUUGAGCAUGAACUCGAGCUGGUCAAACAAGGGUACAUAUGGCGAGUAGGGAAUGGGGCAAGUAUCCGUGUUUGGAGAGAGAUCUGGAUCCCUAGAGGACCGACCUGUAGGCCGAUCACUCUCAAGCGUAGAUGCAGACUUAAAUAG